rnacentral:rRNA from 1 species
UACGUAGGGUGCAAGCGUUGUCCGGAAUUAUUGGGCGUAAAGAGCUCGUAGGCGGUCUGUUGCGUCGGCUGUGAAAACCCGGGGCUCAACCCCGGGCCUGCAGCCGAUACGGGCAGACUAGAGUUCGGCAGGGGAGACUGGAAUUCCUGGUGUAGCGGUGAAAUGCGCAGAUAUCAGGAGGAACACCGGUGGCGAAGGCGGGUCUCUGGGCAGAUCCUGACGCUGAGGAGCGAAAGCGUGGGGAGCAAACAGG